rnacentral:siRNA from 1 species
CAAUGGUGCUUUAAAUUUCACAUU